rnacentral:rRNA from 1 species
GUGAACGCUGGCGGUAGGCCUAACACAUGCAAGUCGCACGGCAGCACAGUAAGAGCUUGCUCUUACGGGUGGCGCGUGGCGGACGGGUGAGGAAUACAUCGGAAUCUACUUUUUAGUGGGGGAUAACGUAGGGAAACUUACGCUAAUACCGCAUACGACCUACGGGUGAAAGCAGGGGAUCUUCGGACCUUGCGCGAUUGAAUGAGCCGAUGUCGGAUUAGCUAGUUGGCGGGGUAAAGGCCCACCAAGGCGACGAUCCGUAGCUGGUCUGAGAGGAUGAUCAGCCACACUGGAACUGAGACACGGUCCAGACUCCUACGGGAGGCAGCAGUGGGGAAUAUUGGACAAUGGGCGCAAGCCUGAUCCAGCCAUACCGCGUGGGUGAAGAAGGCCGUCGGGUUGUAAAGCCCUUUUGUUGGGAAAGAAAAGCAGCAGGUUAAUACCCCGCUGUUCUGACGGUACCCAAAGAAUAAGCACCGGCUAACUUCGUG